GAGACAGCAGCCGCCGCGGUAAUACGGAGGGUGCAAGCGUUAAUCGGAAUUACUGGGCGUAAAGCGCACGCAGGCGGUCUGUCAAGUCAGAUGUGAAAUCCCCGGGCUUAACCUGGGAACUGCAUUUUAAACUGGCAGGCUAGAGUCUUGUAGAGGGGGGUAGAAUUCCAGGUGUAGCGGUGAAAUGCGUAGAGAUCUGGAGGAAUACCGGUGGCGAAGGCGGCCCCCUGGACAAAGACUGACGCUCAGGUGCGAAAGCGUGGGGAGCAAACAGGAUUAGAUACCCGCGUAGUCCCUGUCUCUUAUAC
rnacentral:rRNA from 1 species